rnacentral:rRNA from 1 species
ACCCCCAGCAACUAGCCCCGCCCCUUAAAACCAACACACCCACAUAAAUACCCCCCAAUGAAGACUCAGAUCUUAGACUAAAGCAUUCUUCCCCCCUAGUACGUGAGACGGAAAAGAGAAUAUGGGAGCCAUAGAAAAAGUACCGCAAGGGAAAUAUGAAAGAGAGCUGAAAAAGCCCAGUCAAGGACUUAAAAGCAGAGAUCAAACCUCGUACCUUUUGCAUCAUGAUUUAGCAAGAAAGACUCAAGCAAAGGGACCUUUACGUUUGAGCCCCCGAAACUAAGCGAGCUACUCCAAGACAGCCUAUCGUAGGGCGAACCCGUCUCUGUGGCAAAAGAGUGGGAAGAACUUCGAGUAGAGGUGACAAACCUACCGAGCCUAGUUAUAGCUGGUUGCCUGAGAGCUGAAUAUGAGUUCAACCUUUUGAGCUGCUCACCCCACCGUAUUAUUGUACCCCCAGGGUUAAAGCAACCAAAAGAUAUAGUCAAGAGGGGAACAGCUCUCUUGAAAAUAAGAAACAACUUUUAAAGCAGGUUAAAGAUCAUAAUACCAAAGGAUACACACCCGAGUGGGCCUGAAAGCAGCCACCCCAUAAGAAAGCGUCAAAGCUCAAGUGCACGUCUUCCCCCCGUAAUACUGAUUUCAAUAUCUUAAACCCCUUAAAUAUAUCAGGCCGCUCCAUGCAGACAUGGAAGAGAUAAUGCUAAUAUGAGUAACCAGAGGGCCAGACCCUCUCGAACACAGCCCUGUAAAUCAGAGCGAACCCGCACUGAGAAUUAACGACCCCCCCCCCAAAGAGGGCAUUGGACCAAAGAAAUUGACAAUCAAGAAAUAUCCCCAAUCAUAACCGUUAACCCCACACAGGCCUGCUAUACGAAAGACAAAAAGAGAGAGAAGGAACUCGGCAAACACUAGUCUCGCCUGUUUACCAAAAACAUCGCCUCUUGCUUGCUCGAGUAUAAGAGGUCCCGCCUGCCCUGUGACGGAAGUUUAACGGCCGCGGUAUUCUGACCGUGCGAAGGUAGCGCAAUCAAUUGUUUUUUAAAUGGAGACCUGUAUGAAUGGCAUAACGAAGGCUAAACUGUCUCCUCCCUCCUGUCAGUGAAAUUGAUCUUCCCGUGCAGAAGCGGGAAUAGACCCAUAAGACGAGAAGACCCUAUGGAGCUUUAGACACCAGGGCAACCCACAUAACUCUGCCCCCACCCCUUCAGAACCAAAGUGGCCCCUGCCCCCAAGUCUUUGGUUGGGGCGACCACGGAGAAACAACUAACCCCCGAGAGGAAAGGGAAACCCCCUAUGUUAGAACCACCAUUCUCACAGUCAGAAAAUCUGUCCGAAAUGACCCGGCUUAGGCCGAUCAACGGAUCCAGUUACCCUAGGGAUAACAGCGCAAUCCACUCCAAGAGCCCAUAUCGACGAGGGGGUUUACGACCUCGAUGUUGGAUCAGGACAUCCUAUUGGUGCAGCCGCUAUUAAGGGUUC